UAUGCAUAACCACUGCUAUACAUGACCUAUGGCAGCAUAUGCAUAACCAUUGCAAUAGACAUAUGGCAGCAGUUAUGAAUAACCACUGCCAUAGGUAGAAUAUAAAUUUUAUAUUUUUCUCUGAAUAUAGUAUAAUUUUAGAAUUUAAAAUUCAUCUUCAUCAUUCAUUAUCUAUGUAAUUAUCAUUCGAGUGUCGUCACAAAAGACUACUUUGAUCCGAUAGCCCUAACUAUGUUGAUCAAUAAAAUUUGAUUUUGAUGGCC
rnacentral:lncRNA from 1 species